AUUAAGAUAUCAAAGUAUCUCAUAAUCUAAUAUCUCAUAAUGAAAUAAAUGCUGGAAAUCUCGAACUAACCGCCAAGCGCCACGCCAAUGUUGUGAAAAAUGUAGUACUAAGAGGUUGUGGUGCAGGUUGAGAGCCAUUCGAUGACAGAAACUAGUGCAGAUUUAAGGGGAAACUUCAGCAUUAUCAGCCCCGUAAACUGGCUGUGAAUCUUCUUUAUCCACGCACAUCCUUACUUACUGUCCAAGCAAGCACCAUCACACGUGCCCCUGACUUGGUGA